GUUAGUGGGCCUGUGGUCUCAGCUACUUAGGAGGCUGAGGUGGGUGGAUUGCUUGAACCCAGGAGUUCUGGGCUGUAAUGCACUAUGUCGAUCGGAUGUCCACAUUAAGUUUGGCAUCAAUAUGGUGACCUUCUGGGAGCAGGGGGACUACCAGGUUACCUUAGGAGGGUGAACCAGCCCAGGUCAGAAAUGGAGUAGGUAAAAACUCCCAUGCUGAUUAGUAGUGGGAUAGUGCAUGUGAAUAGCCACUGCACUCCAGCCUCGGAAACAUAGCAAGACCCUGUCUCUU
rnacentral:SRP_RNA from 1 species